AACUAUAACGGUCCUAAGGUAGCGAAAUUCCUUGUCAGGUAAGUUCUGACCCGCACGAAAGGCGUAACGAUUUGGGCGCUGUCUCAGCUGUAGACUCGGUGAAGUCUUAGUACCUGUGAAGAUGCAGGUUACCCGCGACUAGACGGAAAGACCCCAUGGAGCUUCACUGCAGGUUGAUAUUGGGAUUUGAUGCAGCAUGUACAGGAUAGGUAGGAGGCAAAGAGAUGGAUACGCCAGUAUUCAAGGAGCCGCUGUUGGGAUACUACCCCUGUUGUAUUGGAUUUCUAACCGGACGACGUAGAGCCGUUGACGGGACAGUGUCAGUCGGGCAGUUUGACUGGGGCGGUCGCCUCCCAAAGAGUAACGGAGGCGCCCAAAGAUACCCUCAGCUUGGAUGGAAACCAAGCGCAGAGUGCAAAGGCAAAAGGGUGUUUGACUGCGAGACCCACAAGUCGAGCAGGGACGAAAGUCGGGCUUAGUGAUCCGGCGGUGCUGAAUGGAAAGGCCGUCGCUCAACGGAUAAAAGCUACCCUGGGGAUAACAGGCUGAUCUCCCCCAAGAGUCCACAUCGACGGGGAGGUUUGGCACCUCGAUGUCGGCUCAUCGCAUCCUGGGGCUGUAUUCGGUCCCAAGGGUUUGGCUGUUCGCCAAUUAAAGCGGUACGCGAGCUGGGUUCAGAACGUCGUGAGACAGUUCGGUCCCUAUCUGUCGUGGGCGUAGGAUAUUUGCAAGGAGCUGUCCCUAGUACGAGAGGACCGGGAUGGACGCACCUCUGGUGCACCAGUUGUCACGCCAGUGGCACAGCUGGGCAGCUAUGUGCGGAACGGAUAAACGCUGAAGGCAUCUAAGCGUGAAGCCGCCCUUAAGAUAAGAUAUCCCUUCUGUUUACAGAGUAAGACCCCUUGAAGACUACAAGGUUGAUAGGCUCAAAGUGUAAGCACGGUGACGUGUUUAGCUAGCGAGUACUAAUCGGUCGAGGGCUUAACCUU
rnacentral:rRNA from 1 species